GUGGGGAAUUUUGGACAAUGGGCGCAAGCCUGAUCCAGCAAUGCCGCGUGCAGGAAGAAGGCCUUCGGGUUGUAAACUGCUUUUGUACGGAACGAAACGGUCCGGGUUAAUACCCUGGGCUAAUGACGGUACCGUAAGAAUAAGCACCGGCUAACUACGUGCCAGCAGCCGCGGUAAUACGUAGGGUGCAAGCGUUAAUCGGAAUUACUGGGCGUAAAGCGUGCGCAAGCGGUUUUGUAAGACAGGCGUGAAAUCCCCGGGCUCAACCUGGGAAUUGCGCUUGUGACUGCAAGGCUGGAGUGCGGCAGAGGGGGAUGGAAUUCCGCGUGUAGCAGUGAAAUGCGUAGAUAUGCGGAGGAACACCGAUGGCGAAGGCAAUCCCCUGGGCCUGCACUGACGCUCAUGCACGAAAGCGUGGGGAGCAAACAGGAUUAGAAACCCGAGUAGUCC
rnacentral:rRNA from 1 species